rnacentral:rRNA from 1 species
AAACAUGUCCAUGAGUAGAAUUUAUGGUCUGGCCUGCUCACUGAAUCAAUUAAAGAGCUGUAGUAAUUUGACUAUACAAAGGUAGCAUAAUAAAUUGUUUUUUAAUUAAAAACUUGGAUGAAAGGUUUGAUGAGAAAAAACUUUUCCUUUUUUUUAAUAAAAAUUAAUAUUUUAGUAAAAAUUCUAAAGUUCUCUAUAAGACGAUAAGACCCUAUAAAAUUUUAUUUAUUUUUACUUUUGACUAGUUUAUAAUUUAAUAAAUUUUAUUGGGGCAAUAAAAAUAUAAAGUUUAACUAUUUAUUAAAUUUACACCAAUAAGUGAAAUUUUAGACCCUAAGAAGAUUAUAAAAACAAAUUACUUUAGGGAUAACAGCGUAAUUUUAUUUAGAGCUCUAAUUGAAAAUAAAGUUUGCGACCUCGAUGUUGAAUUAAGAAUCCUUUUAAAUGAAGAAGU